GAUGAACGCUGGCGGCGUGCCUAAUACAUGCAAGUCGAGCGGCAGCACGGUCUUCGGACUGGUGGCGAGCGGCGGACGGCUGAGUAACGCGUAGGAACGUACCCCAAAGUGAGGGAUAACUGCUCGAAAGAGUAGCUAAUACCGCAUGUGAUCUAAGGAUUAAAGCUUCGGCGCUUUGGGAACGGCCUGCGUUCGAUUAGCUAGUUGGUGAGGUAAAAGCUCACCAAGGCGACGAUCGGUAGCUGGUCUGAGAGGAUGAUAAGCCAGACUGGGACUGAGACACGGCCCAGACUCCUACGGGAGGCAGCAGUAGGGAAUUUUCCACAAUGGGCGAAAGCCUGAUGGAGCAACGCCGCGUGCAGGAUGAAUGCCUUAGGGUUGUAAACUGCUUUUAUAUGUGACGAAUAUGACGGUAGCAUAAGAAUAAGGAUCGGCUAACUCCGUGCCAGCCGCCGCGGUAA
rnacentral:rRNA from 1 species